GAGGACUAUCACUAUCUCCUUCUUCCCGAACAUCAAGUAUACAUAAAAAGUGAUGAAAGUAAUGAGGAACCAUUAAAAAAAUAUAUAUCCUGUCACUGUUUUUCCAAUGGACGUCUCAGGUUGUCCUGGAUUAUUUCAGGAGAGAUUAAGACAUCUAAAAGUGGAAACUUGAUUUCCUGGCUUCUAAAGCUGUGAGAAGCAAUGAUUUUCUGGAGAAGAAAAAGAAAGUGCCAAGAAAAGGAGCUUUGGGCGCUUAAAUGCUACAACAACGCACUUUGGAAGCGUGAGGGAGCAGCCAGAGCCAUGCAAGUGCUGUUUGCUCUUCCUGCACGUACCGAGCUGGAGGCUCCCAGUCCCUGUGCCACUUCUCAGUUCCUGAGGGUUUCGCGCCUGCUGCCAGCUGUGCCCAGGGCUCCUGCUGUGUGCUGGAGCAAGUCCUUCGUCAGGCAUCGAGGGGAAGGACUUGGGAAGUUUCCAUAUCUGGGGCUGAGCCCCGAUGCCUGGUGUGCUGGAUUCACCAUACACCAGCAGCACGACGAUCAUCCACUUCAUUCCAAGCACCUGCCUGCCUGCCAAACAUCCUUGCUCUGCUCUGAUGACAGCCUCUGUGAUAGUUCCUGGGAAGCUGGUGCUCGCACGUGUGCCAGGGACUGGCUGGUGACUGCAAACAGAAUUCCCGUCUGGACCAACCCCCUGAAGAGCUGGGUCUGCUGCAGCUCCAGCUGCACAGUGGCUACAUCAAAGUCCAGGGAAGGAAGGCUGCCCUUGUGGUUGGUGGCUAAUGUUUGGCUACUGAACUGA
rnacentral:lncRNA from 1 species